GGGUUGUGAGGUUAAGCGACUAAGCGUACACGGUGGAUGCCCUGGCAGUCAGAGGCGAUGAAGGGCGUGCUAAUCUGCGAUAAGCGCCGGUAAGGUGAUAUGAACCGUUAUAACCGGCGAUACCCGAAUGGGGAAACCCAGUGUGACUCGUCACACUAUCAUUAACUGAAUCCAUAGGUUAAUGAGGCGAACCGGGGGAACUGAAACAUCUAAGUACCCCGAGGAAAAGAAAUCAACCGAGAUUCCCCCAGUAGCGGCGAGCGAACGGGGAGGAGCCCAGAGCCUGAAUCAGCAUGUGUGUUAGUGGAAGCGUCUGGAAAGGCGCGCGAUACAGGGUGACAGCCCCGUACACAAAAGCGCAUGUGCUGUGAGCUCGAUGAGUAGGGCGGGACACGUGGUAUCCUGUCUGAAUAUGGGGGGACCAUCCUCCAAGGCUAAAUACUCCUGACUGACCGAUAGUGAACCAGUACCGUGAGGGAAAGGCGAAAAGAACCCCGGCGAGGGGAGUGAAAAAGAACCUGAAACCGUGUACGUACAAGCAGUGGGAGCCUCUUUUAUGGGGUGACUGCGUACCUUUUGUAUAAUGGGUCAGCGACUUAUAUUCUGUAGCAAGGUUAACCGUAUAGGGGAGCCGGAGGGAAACCGAGUCUUAAUUGGGCGUUAAGUUGCAGGGUAUAGACCCGAAACCCGGUGAUCUAGCCAUGGGCAGGUUGAAGGUUGGGUAACACUAACUGGAGGACCGAACCGACUAAUGUUGAAAAAUUAGCGGAUGACCUGUGGCUGGGGGUGAAAGGCCAAUCAAACCGGGAGAUAGCUGGUUCUCCCCGAAAGCUAUUUAGGUAGCGCCUCGUGAAUUCAUCUCCGGGGGUAGAGCACUGUUUCGGCUAGGGGGCCAUCCCGGCUUACCAACCCGAUGCAAACUGCGAAUACCGGAGAAUGUUAUCACGGGAGACACACGGCGGGUGCUAACGUCCGUCGUGAAGAGGGAAACAACCCAGACCGCCAGCUAAGGUCCCAAAGUCAUGGUUAAGUGGGAAACGAUGUGGGAAGGCCCAGACAGCCAGGAUGUUGGCUUAGAAGCAGCCAUCAUUUAAAGAAAGCGUAAUAGCUCACUGGUCGAGUCGGCCUGCGCGGAAGAUGUAACGGGGCUAAACCAUGCACCGAAGCUGCGGCAGCGACGCUUAUGCGUUGUUGGGUAGGGGAGCGUUCUGUAAGCCUGUGAAGGUGGCCUGUGAGGGUUGCUGGAGGUAUCAGAAGUGCGAAUGCUGACAUAAGUAACGAUAAAGCGGGUGAAAAGCCCGCUCGCCGGAAGACCAAGGGUUCCUGUCCAACGUUAAUCGGGGCAGGGUGAGUCGACCCCUAAGGCGAGGCCGAAAGGCGUAGUCGAUGGGAAACGGGUUAAUAUUCCCGUACUUGGUGUUACUGCGAAGGGGGGACGGAGAAGGCUAUGUUGGCCGGGCGACGGUUGUCCCGGUUUAAGCGUGUAGGUGUGUGUUCCAGGUAAAUCCGGUUCACUUUAACACUGAGGCGUGACGACGAGGCACUACGGUGCUGAAGCAACAAAUGCCCUGCUUCCAGGAAAAGCCUCUAAGCAUCAGGUAACAUCAAAUCGUACCCCAAACCGACACAGGUGGUCAGGUAGAGAAUACCAAGGCGCUUGAGAGAACUCGGGUGAAGGAACUAGGCAAAAUGGUGCCGUAACUUCGGGAGAAGGCACGCUGACAUGUAGGUGAAGUGAUUUACUCAUGGAGCUGAAGUCAGUCGAAGAUACCAGCUGGCUGCAACUGUUUAUUAAAAACACAGCACUGUGCAAACACGAAAGUGGACGUAUACGGUGUGACGCCUGCCCGGUGCCGGAAGGUUAAUUGAUGGGGUCAGCGCAAGCGAAGCUCCUGAUCGAAGCCCCGGUAAACGGCGGCCGUAACUAUAACGGUCCUAAGGUAGCGAAAUUCCUUGUCGGGUAAGUUCCGACCUGCACGAAUGGCGUAAUGAUGGCCAGGCUGUCUCCACCCGAGACUCAGUGAAAUUGAACUCGCUGUGAAGAUGCAGUGUACCCGCGGCAAGACGGAAAGACCCCGUGAACCUUUACUAUAGCUUGACACUGAACAUUGAGCCUUGAUGUGUAGGAUAGGUGGGAGGCUUUGAAGUGUGGACGCCAGUCUGCAUGGAGCCGACCUUGAAAUACCACCCUUUAAUGUUUGAUGUUCUAACGUGGACCCGUAAUCCGGGUUGCGGACAGUGUCUGGUGGGUAGUUUGACUGGGGCGGUCUCCUCCUAAAGAGUAACGGAGGAGCACGAAGGUUGGCUAAUCCUGGUCGGACAUCAGGAGGUUAGUGCAAUGGCAUAAGCCAGCUUGACUGCGAGCGUGACGGCGCGAGCAGGUGCGAAAGCAGGUCAUAGUGAUCCGGUGGUUCUGAAUGGAAGGGCCAUCGCUCAACGGAUAAAAGGUACUCCGGGGAUAACAGGCUGAUACCGCCCAAGAGUUCAUAUCGACGGCGGUGUUUGGCACCUCGAUGUCGGCUCAUCACAUCCUGGGGCUGAAGUAGGUCCCAAGGGUAUGGCUGUUCGCCAUUUAAAGUGGUACGCGAGCUGGGUUUAGAACGUCGUGAGACAGUUCGGUCCCUAUCUGCCGUGGGCGCUGGAGAACUGAGGGGGGCUGCUCCUAGUACGAGAGGACCGGAGUGGACGCAUCACUGGUGUUCGGGUUGUCAUGCCAAUGGCACUGCCCGGUAGCUAAAUGCGGAAGAGAUAAGUGCUGAAAGCAUCUAAGCACGAAACUUGCCCCGAGAUGAGUUCUCCCUGAGACUUAGAGUCUCCUGAAGGAACGUUGAAGACGACGACGUUGAUAGGCCGGGUGUGUAAGCGCAGCGAUGCGUUGAGCUAACCGGUACUAAUGAACCGUGAGGCUUAACCUUACAACGCCGAAG
rnacentral:rRNA from 1 species